GAAACAUUCCGAUAAGUGUCCGACGUCCUGCCAUGACUGGACUGUAACGCACUUUGGAUCGCCGGUCUGUAUCCUUGCGCUCCUGACUCAUGGCUCCAUUUGGAAAAAACUUUCUGAAAGCCCGACUGAAAAACAGGGCAAAAGAUGCAGCGCCUGUGGUAGGAAAGGAGAUUCAGGUUACUGUCUGCAAUGAAGAGAAGGUUGUGUGUGGAGUAACAAAGCAUACAACAUGUGCAGAUAUGAUUCAGGCAUUACUGGAGGAUCACAAGUCAAUCCCAGAGAGCAAGCGGUUACUGCACGGAGAGCCCAAAGACUUCUGUCUCGUUGAGCGAUGGAAGGGUUUUGAGAGAGCUUUGCCACCUCUCACCAGAAUACUGAGACUCUGGUAUGCUUGGGGUGAUCAGAGGCCCUUCAUAAAGUUCAUUCUUGUCAAAAGCAGUGACUUUGUGCCUCAGCCUACUAAGAAGGGUGGAAAGUCCAAAGGGACCAAGCUGAAGCGAUAUGAGCAUGGGCAUGCUCAGUAUUCCCAGUCUCUGCCAGUGGAAAAACAAAAGCGCAUGGUAAAAAAAGCUUUCCGGAAGCUGGAGAAAAUUCAUAAGGAGAGCAAAAGCUCCCCGGGUGCUCAGGAGAUCGACCAGAUGGUGCAACUCAUUCUCAACCAGGACCACACAAUUAGAGAGCAGAUCCAGCGGAUGAGGGAGCUAGAUUCAGAGAUUGAGCGACUUGAGGUGCAAGUGCAGAGUGAAACCACGUCAGAGAGUUCACUGCCUCAGGCUUGUAGUCCAAAUUCCAUGGCACACAGUGAGGAGCAGCUGCAGGAAUACUUGUACACCAGUGAUGGGGUUGUACAGCUGGAUAUGGAAGUUCAGAGGCACCAGGAACUCAUCCUCCAGCUGUCCCGUGAUAUUGACGCUGAGCUUAGGGUGGCCAGCUUCACCCUGACUGAAGAUGAAGAACAGGAAGGAGUAGCUGCUGGUUCCUGGUUCCCCACUGACAUGGACGAAACAUUUUAUACUGCUGAAAUCGAGAGGCUGCAGGGUGAACUGAAACACAGCCUCUUCACUGGUGUUUCCCUUCACAACCAAGCUGCUGAAAUAGACAAGCAGAUAAAGUACUUUGACAAUACACUGGUUUCUAAGGACCAGGAGUGCUGGCAGUUAGCCGCCCAGCUGAGCUCACUGCAAAUCAUGGACACCACAGAGGAGGAGAAGCCCAUAACAGUCCCUCUGAAAACCGAGACCCAGUGCAGCAUGUCUCAAGCAGUGAAACUCAAACACAGCCUGUCCCCUCUAGACAUCACAGACACAGACUCAGACACUGGGAUUAGCUCCACACACAGUCAGGACUCCCUGUCACCGUGUCUCGACUUCCCUCCCCCACUGGACACAGACGUUUGAGGAGCCCGGUUGACUCCACCAUAGGCACCGGCCCCAGUUUGUACUUCUCGCAUGUCAUCUUUGUUUCACGCUUUGUGCUUGCACCUGAAAUCUGCCCCUUAAAUGAAUUUAAAUGGACAUGAAAUAUGUUGAAAAUGUAUCUAUUAGUAUUUUCAUUUUUAAGAGAAAACUGCGAAACCCUCUGUGGUUUUUAGUGUUUCGGGAAAUUUGUUGCAUCUUUAUCACACUGGGUCAAAAACAAAAAUUGAAGAAAUGUCAACUUGAGUUUCCACAAAUUAAUAUUGUUUACAGAACAUUGGUCAAAAUUGUUUUCUGCAAAGAUGGUUGCAAGAAGCAAAAUAUAUCUUGUUAAAUAUGAAUAAUUUUCUCAGGUAUCAUAGUAACAUCAGUGUGAGAUGAAAUAAUACAUGCAAGACAGCAACUGAGGCAGUGCAUGCACUAGUUAUAAUCCAACAUUUAUGAUGGACAGUUUUCCCAUUUUUACCUAACAACAAAGAUUCAAAGACCCUUUUCCAGGCUGGCCCAGGCGUAUUCAUUUUUUAUUAUUAUUAUUAUUUUAGAUGUUUCAUUUUUGUCACGCUCCCUGUAGAUGAUAGCAAAUGUGCAUUUUGCUCUUUAUAAAGUUUAAAGCUAUUUAUGAAGUCUAUUAACAGUGUUUUAUAUUAAAACAAAUAGAUAAUAGUUUUGAUGUAGCUUUUGUUUAAAAAAAAACUAUUUUAAAAACUGCUCUUUAAAUUUCUGUAAAUACAUUUAGUGCUGAGAAGAAAUAUUUGCCCCCAUCCUGAUUUUGUUCUCUUUUUUUGGGGGGGGGUGUUUUUGUCACACUUGCAUGUUUCAGAGCAUCAAAUAAAUUUUAAUGUUAAGCAACAAUAACCUGAGUAAAUACAAAAUGCAGGUUUUAAACGAUGAUUUUAUUUAUUAACUGAAAGAAGCUCUCCAAACUUCCCUGGUCCUAUGUGAAAAAUUAAUUGUCCCCUCUUGUUACAUCAUGAAUUAACCAUGUUUUUCUGGAAAGCUGAGUUCAAUUUCACUGGACACACCCAGACCUGAUUCCUGCCAGACUUGUUGAAUCAAGAAAUCACUUAAAUAGAACCUGUCUGACAAAGUGAAGCAGGCUAAAAGAAUUACUCUUUUGUGACCUCCUGGAAUGACUCAUCCAGGAGGUCACAAAAGAACCCAAAACAA